GCAGGGGUGAGGAAGGCAGACAGGCCUCAGCAGUGAGGACAGAGAAUUCGGAGUCCACGUUGUGAGGUAAGAUGAAGUCCUCAUCCACGCUCGCCUUGCUUGCUCACGUUCAGCCAACUCGGCACCCUGCACGGUGUGCAAGCUCCGAAAUGGUCGUGGCAUCCGUUUGCCUUGAAUGAGUGAAAACCUCGGGGGUCACAACAGAGCAUACCUCGUCUUGGAACAGAUGUUUCCAGCCCCAGUGACAGGCAGUGUUUUGGUCCUCUCUGUGCCAACCGCCGAUAUAACGAAGGAUGAGACCAAGGGGGACCCUGUAGAAACCUCUCACAGGCUGGGAGCACCAACUCUGCCCGGAGGUCCCAGGAACGCUUACGUUUUCCAGGGGCUAUUAGUUCUCCAGGUGGACAGCAGUCCGGUGGAGACAACCGUAAAAAGGACACACAAAAGGUCUGAGAGGCAACUGCAAGAAGUCAGAUGGAACCAGAACUCCACUGUGGCUACGCAGGAGUAAAGGCAAGAAAAAGAGAGGGCCUUGCACGCCCUUCUAAGGGGCCUGGUCUUUGUCCUCCCCCCACCCGCCGGUGGAGAAGAGUAAUGGAACGUGGGUGAUGUCUGUGCGGGGUACUCCUCCAGCAUGGAUCUGAAGAAGCCGGAAAGGCAACGCUUAGGAGACUGUCGGGCUGGUCCAAGGAGGAGACGCUGAAGCUGCGUGGCAGUGAGUGUGGAGGAGACACGGGGCUUCAGGACAGAGCUCUGACGAGACACCCACCUGGACGUGGGGUAAAGGGGCCAGAUGGCCCACUUGUACACGUGGUGAAGGACGGUACCAUCAACAAAGGUGGGAAAUGCAAUAGAAGGUUGGAGUAGGGAACGAGGGAAGAGUUGAUUUGUGCCAUCAGGGCAUGCCGGGUUCCGGGUACUGUGGGGACGCCCACGUGGAGAUGGCUGUGGGCGGGGGGGGUACUAUCAGCACUCAGGUACCUGGUGCCCCAAGAGAGUUCCGGAAGUUCAGGUUCAGUAGUUACCCAAUUUGGUAGAGCUCCUGUGUACUUAGGUGAAAGGGGGGUAGUGGUUGAAUCCACUGGAGUAAUGAAAUCACUCGGGGACCAUGGACCGACACCAUGUUCGGGCUAAAAACAGAGAGAAAAGAACCCCACGUGGUAUGGACUGAAGGUUUGUGUCCCCCCCCCCUGCCCCCCCAAACUCAUAUGUUAAAAUCCUAAUCUCCAAUGUGAUGGUACCAAGAGGGGGGGCCUUCGGGAGGUGAUGAGUCACAAGGCUGGAGAGCUGUGCUCUUAUGAAGGAGACCCCACAGAGCUCCCUCCCCACCUCUGCCAUGUGAGGACACCGUGGGAAGACGGCCGUCUCCGCACCAGGAGGAAGGCCUUCACCAGACGCCGAAUCUGCCAGAGCCUUCACUUUGGACUUCCCAGCCUCCAGGACUAUGAGAAAGAAACGUUUGUUAUUUAAGCCGCCCAGGCCACGGCGUUUUUGUCACAGCAGCCGAAACGGACUAAGACACCACUCUUGAGAGCUGGCAAGAAGAGGCAGCAAAGAAGAGUCCGGAAGCUGGCGGAGAGGAGGGUUUUCAUGAAGGACGUUAGCAACGAUGCCACCCGCCAGACAGGUCUCGCGUUCCUGGAGUUGACAGUGCCGAGGCCGCUGAGGACCCACAGCGAGAGGAAGCAAGAGCUUCCUCUUUCUGGGGGUGGAGGUGGGGCGCCUGGUAGGGAAAGGCCAGGGCACCGAGCAGAAGCGCUGGACUGUAGGGAGAUGAGCAGAGGGUGAGAGUGGGGAGACCACCGACAGACUUUAAGGACUAGGAUAGGAAAGAAAGACCCCCAAGGAGAUGCGGGAUUAAGGGAGGACUUUUCUUCUUACCCUGGACCUGCAUGUGAGCUAGAGGCAGGGCGGCAGCGAAGGGCAACAGGGACAAGGGGGUGAUGGCCGCGAAGCACAGGGGAAGCCGUUGGCCGCGUACUGUACAAACUCCGUUCUCCGGGAAGGGUAGCUGAAGGAUUUGCUGUCUCGUUUCCUGCUUGCACUUUCUACAGCUCCUCUCUCCCCUGAGAGGGUGUCCUUUUGUCCCUCUGCCCCCAUCACCUCCAAACCAGAAUGUGCAUCCUUCAAAGCUGUCCCUUUCUCUGAAGUCCCCCGAUGCGUCCGGCUGCCAAGUGAUGUUUCCCCUGGCCUGUCUUCCCUCCCAGCUCAAUAACGUUCGCCCCACGUUGCUCUUGUUCGGAAUCGGGAUGUCCCCACUAUUAGAUACGCAGCUCCUUGAGGGAAAGAAUCAUACCCUGGAUCACUUUUGAGCUCCCCCCAUCCGUUCGCAGAGCCUGAACGGGGUGCCGCACACACUGGGCAUUCGAUAAUGUUCUUU